rnacentral:misc_RNA from 1 species
GAUGAAGAACGUAGUGAAAUGCGAUAAGUAGUGUGAAUUGCAGAAUUCAGUGAAUCAUCGAAUCUUUGAACGCACAUUGCGCCCUUUGGUAUUCCUUAGGGCAUGCCUGUUCGAGCGUCAUCUAAACCCUCAAGCGCUGCUUGGUGUUGGGUGCCUGUCCCGCCCCCGCGCGUGGACUCACCUCAAAUCCAUUGGCGGCUCUCACGUCGGCUUCGAGCGCAGCAGAAACGCGAACUCGUGGCCCGGCGGAGCGGCUCCCAGAAGCUACUUUCACCAUUUUGACCUCGGAUCAGGUAGGGAUACCCGCUGAACUUAAGCAUAUCAAUAAGCGGAGGA